GUAUUAUAAGCAUAUUAGCAAUUAUGAUUUGUUAUUUUAAUGGCCUGUUUAUUUUGAUUAAGUUCGAAUAAUGAAAUGGACCAAGAUAAGAUUAUGAAGAACAAUUGAAUUUGUAUAUCGAAAAAGAAAAAAUUUAGGCUGGAAUGAGGGUAACAUUAAUCCAACUUGGGGCAGCAUUAAUCCACAUUAAUAUAAUUAUAAUAUAAUCUGAGGAAAUUUUUUUUUU
rnacentral:misc_RNA from 1 species